AACGCAUAUUGCGCUCUUUGGUAUUCCGAAGAGCAUGCUUGUUUGAGUAUCAGUAAACACCUCAACCUCCUCUUGAUUUUUCAAAAGGAGGGUGGACUUGAGCUAUCCCAACAACCUUUAUCGGUAGGCGGGUGGCUUGAAAUGCAGGUGCAGCUGGACUUUUAUCUGAGCUAAAAGCAUAUCUAUUUAGUCCUCGUCAAACAGGAUUAUUACUAUUGCUGCAGCUAACAUAAAGGAUAAUUGUCCUCAUUGCUGACUGAUGCAGGAUUUUACGACACUUUAUGUGUUGUUCAACUCGAUCUCAAAUCAAGUAAGACUACCCGCUGAACUUAA
rnacentral:misc_RNA from 1 species